GCGGCAGUAGCUUAAGUGUAAAGCCCUGGAUUGUCAUUCCAGGAGAUGCGGGGUCGCACCCGUCUACCGUU